GACGAACGCUGGCGGCGUGCCUAAUACAUGCAAGUUGAGCGAUGAAGAUUGGUGCUUGCACCAAUUUGAAGAGCAGCGAACGGGUGAGUAACGCGUGGGGAAUCUGCCUUUGAGCGGGGGACAACAUUUGGAAACGAAUGCUAAUACCGCAUAACAACUUUAAACAUAAGUUUUAAGAUUGAAAGAUGCAAUUGCAUCACUCAAAGAUGAUCCCGCGUUGUAUUAGCUAGUUGGUGAGGUAAAGGCUCACCAAGGCGAUGAUACAUAGCCGACCUGAGAGGGUGAUCGGCCACAUUGGGACUGAGACACGGCCCAAACUCCUACGGGAGGCAGCAGUAGGGAAUCUUCGGCAAUGGACGAAAGUCUGACCGAGCAACGCCGCGUGAGUGAAGAAGGUUUUCGGAUCGUAAAACUCUGUUGGUAGAGAAGAACGUUGGUGAGAGUGGAAAGCUCAUCAAGUGACGGUAACUACCCAGAAAGGGACGGCUAACUACGUG
rnacentral:rRNA from 1 species